UUGUGCAUAGGCGUGUGUAGUUGUGGUUUUGAUGGUUCUGAAAAGGACCUAAGUUCUUGUGGACCGCUGGUUGUGAAGUGUUCAGACCCUCAGCGUCAGUCCUGGUGUUGGAUGAUGAUGGCGGUGGCGGUGGCGGUCUGGUCUGACACGGUGGUUUUCAUCGUUGAGGCACAUCCACCCAUCAGUGUCCAGGACUGUGGUCCAGUCAAGUCCACGUUCCUGCUCUAUGACCCUCAUAUAAACCAGCACAGGUGAUGGGGGUCCAGGUUUGUUUAAAGUGGGCUCUGAUGGCCCAACAGGACUCGUGGUAGCGGGCUCAGACCAUGAACCGGACCCCUCCGCUCAGGCCGGGCUCCAGAGACGAGUCUCUGUGACUGCUGCUCCAUCUGUCGGCAUGGAAACCAGCGUCACAUGGAAGCUCUGAAAACGGCGCCGUCACAACAACAUGAGCGGGAAAGAAGAAGAAGACCUUUGUGCAGAGGUGUGUGGGUUUGACAGCGCCGGGCGCCGGUCCGGGUCUGAGCUCUCUGUCUGACAACACCAGAGAAAGACGUUCCUGUUUUUAACUGGGAUUCUCUGCUGAACGAGGCUGCAGACUGGUGCUGCAGACUGGUGCUGCUGGUGCUGCAGACUGGUGCUGCUGGUGCUGCAGACUGGUGCUGUCAGCGUUAGCCACAGUCUGCAGACCAGUGUGACGUAGUUCACCUGCAGGUUCUGUGGUUCUGUUGUGGUUCUGUUGUGGUUCUGUUGUGGUUCUGUUGAAAACUCUCGGCCUGUUUCAGUUGGUUUGUUAAAAAUUCUGUUUCCUGCUGAAAUGAUCAUGA